rnacentral:rRNA from 1 species
UCAGAUUUGAAAUCGUGUUUCGGCACGAGUUGUAGAGUGUAGGCGGGAGUCUCUGUGGAGCGCGGUGUCCAAGUCCCUUGGAACAGGGUGCCUGAGAGGGUGAGAGCCCCGUAGGGUGCUGCGCGAAGCUUUUGAGGCCCUGCUGACGAGUCGAGUUGUUUGGGAAUGCAGCUCCAAGCGGGUGGUAAAUUCCAUCUAAGGCUAAAUAUUGGCGAGAGACCGAUAGCGAACAAGUACUGUGAAGGAAAGAUGAAAAGCACUUUGAAAAGAGAGUGAAACAGCACGUGAAAUUGUUGAAAGGGAAGGGUAUUGGGCUCGACAUGGGGGGUGCGCACCGCUGUCUCUUGUAGGCGGCGCUCUGGGCGCCCUCUGGGCCAGCAUCGGUUCCUGCUGCGGGAGAAGGGGCUCCGGAAAGUGGCUCUUCGGAGUGUUAUAGCCGGGGCCAGAUGCCGCGUGUGGGGACCGAGGACUGCGGCUUCUGUCUCGGAUGCUGGCAUAACGGCGCAAUACCGCCCGUCUUG